CCUACGGUGUGCUGCAGUGGGGAAUAUUUGACACUGGGGGAAACCCUGAUCCAGCGACGCCGCGUGAGUGAAGAAGUAUUUCGGUACGUGAAGCUCUAUCAGCAGGAAAGACAAUGAAGGUACCUGCCUAAGAAGCCCCGGCUAACUACGUGCCAGAAGCCGCGGUAAUAAGUAGGGGGCAAGCGUUACCAGGAUUUACUGGGUGUAAAGGGAGCGUAGACGGCAGCGCAAGUCUGGAGUGAAAUGCCGGGGCCCAACCCCGGAACUGCUCUGGAAACUGUGAAGCUGGAGUGCAGGAGAGGCAAGCGGAAUGCCUGGUGUAGCGGUGAAAUGCGUAGAUAUCAGGAGGAACACCGGCGGCGAAGGCGGCUUACUGGACUGUAACUGACGUUGAGGCUCGAAGGCGUGGGGAGCAAACAGGAUUAGAUACCCUAGUAGUC
rnacentral:rRNA from 1 species